UGCUACUCCCAUCGCGAGCAAGAAAAUCGGAAGGAAAGAAAGCCAACGAAAAAAAAUCGUCUUGGAACGAGGCCUCCAGGUGCCCUCGAGCUCGCACUCGCAUCAGGAGUGAUGCUACUUCCAGGCCACCACGCCACACCACCAGAUCCCUUCGCCGCCGCCUCGCACUCGCAUCCCAUCGCCGCCGCCCGUGCGUUCUCGAUCGGAGAGGACGCCCCCUUCGCCGCCGCUGAGAUCCGAGAAGAGUCGCCCUUCGCCGCCGCCUCCCUUGCAAGGACGCCCCGCCAUGGGUCUCUAUCGGUGCCACGACUGCCGCGGCCUCCCCACCUGCCGACGCUCUAGAUCCGGCCGUAGUUGACUCCCUGUACAUCAUCUCAAGGGGGAGGGGCGUGAGGCGGUUGCCGCCGUCGGUGGCUGCACUUGAAGGUCUCCGCCGCUUGCUCCAACCAGAUCCAGCCAGACCGUCCAGUGGUGGUCCACGUGCAUCUGGACGGACGCAACGGCUUUGCCUCCCCUGUCCCAUGUCUUCGUCCACCACACCAUCCGAUUGCGGUAAUAAAUCUAUAGCCAUGCCCUUUUCCUUGAGAUGAACUACAAAAUUUCUGUUCUGUUAUAUCUUGGUGAAUGUCUCGCCAAUUGCCAUACAAAUACAUGUGUGCUUCUCCUGUCGUGCAUUUGCUGGGUAAGCUGCUGCUACCCGGGCUCACAUGACCCCGUGGAGGAAGGAGCUGCGCAAGGAAUCACUGCCAAAAGACUCAAGACGAGUUUGGAGUGUCCUGGAUUCCAGGCCAUGUUCCGCAAGGAAGAAGCAACGAUAGCUAGCCGAGGGUUCAGAUUGACGUUCGCUUUGAUUCUCGUUGAUUCAUUAUUUUGACCGACCCAAGCAGCGCCGGCGCUCACGGAGGAGAACCUGAUGUUCCUAGAGGCCUGACGCGCGGUCGAUCACACUUACUACGACAAGUCCUCCAACGGGUGGAGCUGGUUCAGCUUUGGAUCAGGACUAACCUCUAGCCAGGAAAGAACCUGAAUCCCAAGUUUUAUUCCCAGUCGACGGCAGUGGCGGUGCCCACGUCCGCGUCAUCAGUGCUGCUAAGGGGCGCCUCACCCUGUUCGGCAUUAUCUUCUGUUCUUCCUACGGCUGCAAGAACCCUCACCUUGGCUAUGGCAGAUGCGACAGAUAAAGCAGACGGUCAUCUUCUCUCCUUUCUCUUUUACCAUUAGAGAAUUUUAGCCAAGCCUGCUGAGUAACACAAAGCUAUUAUAUGCGUUCAAUGGAAUGUCUGCAAUGCCAACAAUAUUCUGAAUAAAAAUGAACAAGGGUAACAUGCAUUGGAUGGCUCAAUUGUUUGUUGAACUAGGUUCGGUUUAGCUUGCUCUCCCCAAUACAAAUUUUCCCACAGCUCAUGCGUUCAAAGAUGGUGAUUUCAAGAAUCUGUCAAGUUCAACAAAUCAUGCUUCUGUUUAUAGAAACUUAAAUAACAACAUACAUGUAAUUUGUUUGCUUAAUCACUUUAUUGUUCGUUACUCUCGAUCACCACCGGAGAAGGCGAUACUCAAAUUUGUGGCUGGGUGCAUCUGCGGAAGUACUUGCUGAUCUUCCCAUGUCAGGUUGUCCUUUUCCCCUCUUAGAUGUUGUAGGGUGUGUUUGCUUCCUGUCACCAACCGGAAUGUCAUGGGUUGGACCCGCUCCUGGGCCUCGUUCCAGCGUUUAGUUCGUAACUAGGAUGGAACCCACUCGUUCCCUGCGGCCGAAUAUUCAGCAGAGAUCCGGAACCGAGCGAUACCUCCGAAUCGAAGGAAUUACAAGGAACCGCUCGUUCUCUCCCUUUCCUCUCCCGUAACCCGGCCAUAUCCCCUCCCUCUCUGUGCGCCGCCGCUCUCUCGUCUCGCCCCUCCCUCUCAGGUGCGCCGCUGCUCUCUCGUCUCGCCCCUCCCUCUCCGGUGCGCCGCUAUUCCCUCGUCGCCCCUUCCUCUCCGGUGCGCUGCCUGUCCCUCAUCUCUAUUCCUCCCAUAGAUCUGCACCACCACUCGAUCUGCGCUGCUAUCGACUCACCAUCUCUCUCUGUCGAUCUGCAGCACAAAAAGGGAAGAAAAUUGGGGUGCUAGGAAGAAGAGGAGCACGUGCGGACGGCGAGCAGCUGCGUGGCUGCUGUUGCAGCUGGGUUACAACACCGGUAGAGGCUACAGCAGCGGCUGCAAUCUUCCUCCUUGAAUAUGCUUAGCUCUACAGAUUUUACUGCAUGUAGCUACGAGAGAGAUGGGGAGGAUAUUGAGAUGACACUCGUGGUUGCUUUUUGAUUAAAGUUUGGUGUUCUAUGCUGUUCAAACUAGUACCAUAUCCUUUGCAAGGAUUGUUAGUUUCUCUGAAGUAAAAUAGGCACACUCAAAUUGCUAUUGUCUGCUACUCCUACAUCUUUGUAAUAAUUAGUGGAGCCAUUGUUUUUUAAAAGGAUGUUGUUUUCCUUGCAAAUAUAAACAAGAUGCUGCUGAAAUUUUGUAUUUUUGAUAUUCCGUUCUUCAUUCCGUGCUUCCGGACCGAACACAUGAACGGAACCAUUCCAUUCUACUUUUUGCUCGUACCGAACAUAGGGCCGGAACCAACCCGUUCCUCUGGAAUGGAACCAUUCCAUUCCGUGACAGUUGGUUCCUGAACCAAACACACCCGUAAUGUGUUCUUCACAUGUGACAACACUAAGUGAACCAUUUUGGGCUUCAUUUGCAUUCUAGCAUGGUGGUCUCUCCUAUAGCUAGCUAUAAAUGUUGGCAGUUUCUUCCCUUUUUCUUUGGUGUUGUUUAUUUACUGAAAAGAGUGUUUUUCUUGGUUUAGUAUUACCUAACAUAGUCAUGUAAAGUAAACUAAACUGUUCAAAUGCCCUCAUGUUACUAAAAGGUGCAAAUAGUUAGCAUAGCUGUAGUCGGCGCCCUGUUAUUAUUUGUUAAGUUAGGAUGCUUACGUUGUGGUUCGUUGUGUAUGUAAGCUGACAAGUACUCCCUCCGUUCCAAAUUACUCGUCGCAGAAAUGGAUGUAUCUAGAACUAAAAUACAUCUAGAUACAUCCAUACCUGUGACAAGUAAUUCGGAACGGAGGGAGUAAUACAUCUCUAUUUUUCCAGUUUCAGAAAAAAAUUGCACUGGAUUGUGCCGGCUGGGGUGGUCACUUUCUUUGGAAAGAAAGAAACAUAUAUAUUGGAGAUGCAUGCGUUUAGAUUUUUUUUGCUAUGAGUUCAAUAGUCUCUGUUAAAUCACAGUAAUUUUGUUGCUCUGCUGAGCAGGUUUUCUUAUACAUAUAUUUAUUUUGAAAAUUCAUAGAUGGAUGAAAUGCUGCUGAGACGUUACAAGAUAUUCCAGCAGAGGCAUCCUUACCGUCCGCAUUACAAGGAUAUGAGAACAUUGGGGUCCUGAAGGCAGUGACCUGUUUACCAUACACGUAUUUACUUCCUUUCUAGGGCGGAACAAUGGAAGGCACAAUUCCAAGUACAGCUCUUCAAGAACAGUUCUCUGAAGGAACAACAAUUUACAAGCUUGGCGCUUACCAGGUUCAAUAUGCUAGGGAAAGAUACAAAACUGUAGAUCGUCCAUGGAGAGUAGUGUUUGCCCAAAAAACUACCGUGGAACCAAUUGUGCCUCAGCCACCAAACUUUCCCAAUUAUGGAUAUACCACCUACAAUGUACACAGUAUCAAAGCCGCAUUAAACAAAUCAUUUUGUUGUCAGUAUCACAAGAAUAUUUGCGCCGAGUGGCGGAUCGAUUGACCAGAUAUGAGAAAAUCACAUCACAAACAAUGCCCGCCAUUGUGACGUUUUGGGGAAAAUUAGCAGAUUCCCUUGAUGCAGACAAGCUACAACGGUGGUCUGCUCAAGAACCCAUUAUAGUUCUAUUUGUUGGCAUGCCAGUACAUGAAUUUAAUGAAACUUGGCCUUCAAGUCCUGUCUGCCAUAUUGCGAUGGAACGGCAGUAUAAUAUACAAAACUUUGACGAGGCUCAUCUGCUUCAAAAUUUCACAAUAAGUCCAAUCAAGACAAUUUGCAACUUUGGUGUUGUCACAUUGGAGUCCGUGCUGAGCAGCAAUGGGAGACUGUCAUUGAUGCCCAACCAAUGAUGCCGACGAAGGAACGAGAGUCGACGAGGAGUAGACGCCAUCGGUUCUUGAACUGCCAAGCCACUGUUGUCCGUUUGGUAAUGUCCGACGCAUCAGUGGCAUAGUAUGACUUGCCCCGAUUUUGACGUCGUCUACCAACAUCCGACGAAGGGAACCCGUCCCGGUUUCCAUCUUGAUGUUAUAUUAUCAACCUUCAGCGAGCAGUGACAACGAACUCCAUCCCCCCACCACACCACACCCAUGUUUCAUAUGAUGUGCUUUAAGCCAUGUUUCAGCUUGUCUCGACCCAAGCAUGUAUUUUUUGUUUCAGUUGUUGAGAUCUGCACUACAAAACUGAGAAAGACCCAUAACUUUUUACAGACUAAAUAGAGGGAAGUUGGCUUGUGCCUUACUAGAGACAGAUGAACCAACAAAAUGAUUGGAAAGGCUCUUUCCAAGCAUAAGAGGAGCUUUUCAAGGAACCUAAGAACCGGAACCUCCCCUCCCCCUCCUGCGACGCUCCCGCGGGCGUCCAGGGGGCAACCCUAGCACCGCCGCCGGUCCCCCCUCCUGCUCUCCCUCCUCCCUCGCCGCCGCCCGGGGGCGCGAGCGGGCGAAGCCCGCUCGUCGCUGGCGGCAGCGGGGCCUUCUCGUCUCUGCGCGUGGGUGUUUCGGCGCGUGUGCCGUUGCCCGGCCAGGCCCUUGCGGCAGGUCGACGUCGCACGACGCUGGAGACUCCCCUGGUGGCCAUACAUGGAUGCGGCAGAGGGCUCUGCUUCCUCAUUAGAUUAAAUUUUGGUGUUGCAUUGUUGAGCACUUCAUGUGAAUGUUCUCUAGUCUCUAUUGUGCAGGGGGUUCUACUCCCUCUUGAGGCAAGUGUGGAUGUAAUGGAUAUUGAUUGUGGUUGUUUGGACAAAAAUAUUGCGUGCAAACAUUAUUGAGUACUGAUGGAGCAAAGUAGUUGUGGAGCGGGUCGUGGAAGAGACGGUUGGUUAGCAUGGGCUGGACGGGAAGGUGAUGCUUGCGAUGGCGACCAAGUCGGCGGGCAAGGCAGGGGCGACCAUGGCCAUCGGGGUGUUUUCAAGGGAGAGCGAGGCAACCGCCAUCACGCAACCGAAGAAGUUGAAACCCGGGGCGAAGUUGGUCAUCAUGGCCAGCAUGAAAGCUGACAAACCUAAAUGCCGGUGAUAGGUUCGCUGCUGUCGCGCCGUCUUUAAACUUGGUGGCAGAGCUAGGAUCAAGCCACGACCCGGGCAAGCCCCAGGCCAAUCACUUGGUACAAUGCUAAACAGUGUAAAAUCCGCUACAGUAAACAGAGGAGCCAAGCCUGAGGACCUAGGCCGCCGCCUGGGCAGCUUGGGGCUUGUCUCCGCCACUGCGCAGAAGGAGAGCGGUGGCGCCGCGAAGACCUCGACGACUGCUGCCAUGACCACGACCAUGAUGAUUGUGUUGGUAAUAAAGAUACUAAUUGUAUACAAAUCCCCCAGCUUCGAAAACAUUAGAUUAUCCAACUUAUU